GAAUUUGAAUGUAGGAAAUCCUAAUCCGUUACAAAAAUUAGAUUGUGCAUAUAGUACUCUCCUAGAAGAGACCCAAAAGUCUAAGGCCCGUUGCAUUAUCAUCAUCAUGAUUUCAUCCGUAUUCUUACAACUAGAAUUUUUUUCUUUGUCCCCCAUAUUUCUAUCAGCUCCCUGAAAUUCCAAAUUUUCUCAUAAAUUUUGGAAACCAUUUUCUAAAAUUCAUAUUUUUUAGGAAUCUCUUUUUUGAAAUAAACUUAAAUAUAGUUUUCACGUCUAUUUUUUUCGGUUCACAUUCCUGUGUUUCAGAUUCUAUUUUCCACCUGAAAUCUUGAAUGUUGAUAUCAUCUAUCAACAUGAAUAAGUGUCUAAUGCAAAAAAGUUUUUAUGUACCAUC
rnacentral:lncRNA from 1 species